GCCGGCGUGGCGCAACUGGCAGCGCAGCCGACUUGUAAUCGGCAGGUUCCCGGUUCGAGUCCGGGCGUCGGCUCCA
rnacentral:tRNA from 1 species